rnacentral:rRNA from 1 species
CCUACGGGUGGCUGCAGUGAGGAAUAUUGGUCAAUGGGCGUAAGCCUGAACCAGCCAAGUCGCGUGAGGGAUGAAGGUUCUAUGGAUCGUAAACCUCUUUUAUAAGGGAAUAAAGUGUGGGACGUGUCCUAUUUUGUAUGGACCUUAUGAAUCAGGAUCGGCUAACUCCGUGCCAGCAGCCGCGGUAAUACGGAGGAUCCGAGCGUUAUCCGGAUUUAUUGGGUUUAAAGGGUGCGUAGGCGGCCUUUUAAGUCAGCGGUGAAAGUCUGUGGCUCAACCAUAGAAUUGCCGUUGAAACUGGGGGGCUUGAGUAUGUGUGAGGCAGGCGGAAUGCGUGGUGUAGCGGUGAAAUGCGUAGAUAUCAGGCAGAACCCCGAUGGCGAAGGCAGCUUGCUAAGCCAUGACUGACGCUGAUGCACGAAAGCGUGGGGAUCAAACAGGAUUAGAUACCCCUGUAGUC